rnacentral:rRNA from 1 species
UACGAAGGGGGCUAGCGUUGUUCGGAAUCACUGGGCGUAAAGCGCACGUAGGCGGACUUUUAAGUCAGGGGUGAAAUCCCGGGGCUCAACCCCGGAACUGCCUUUGAUACUGGAAGUCUUGAGGCCGAGAGAGGUGAGUGGAAUUCCGAGUGUAGAGGUGAAAUUCGUAGAUAUUCGGAAGAACACCAGUGGCGAAGGCGGCUCACUGGCUCGGUACUGACGCUGAGGUGCGAAAGCGUGGGGAGCAAACAGG